AUGUCCCCCAUUAUGUUAGCUAGUAUACCUGCACACACACACACACACACACACACACACACACACACACACACACACACACACACACACACACACACACACACACACACACACACACACACACACACAUCCUAUUUCUCUGUAUUAUAUUAUCUCUACCUAAAUGUGUUAUUCCAAAAACACUCUCCUCCCUACUCUCCCUCCUACUCUCCCUCCUACUCUCUCUCCUACUCUCCCUCCUACUCUCUCUCCUACUCUCUCUCCUACUCUCCCUCCUACUCUCCUCCCUACUCUCCUCCCUACUCUCCCUCCUACUCUCCUCCCACUCUCCCUCCUACUCUCCGUCCUACUCUCCCUCCUACUCUCUCUCCUACUCUCCCUCCUACUCUCUCUUCUACUCUCCCUCCCACUCUCCCUCAUACUCUCCCUCCCACUCUCCCUCCCACUCUGCCUCCUACUCUCCCUCCCACUCUCCCUCCCACUCUGCCUCCUACUCUCCUCCCACUCUCCCUCCCACUCUGCCUCCUACUCUCCCUCAUACUCUCCCUCCCACUCUCCCUCCCACUCUGCCUCCUACUCUCCCUCCCACUCUCCCUCCCACUCUGCCUCCCACUCUCCCUCCCACUCUGCCUCCCACUCUCCCUCCUACUCUCCCUCCCACUCUCCCUCCCACUCUGCCUCCUACUCUCCCUCAUACUCUCCCUCCCACUCUCCCUCCCACUCUCCCUCAUACUCUCCCUCCCACUCUCCCUCCCACUCUCCCUCCCACUCUGCCUCCUACUCUCCCUCAUACUCUCCCUCCCACUCUCUCUCCCACUCUGCCUCAUACUCUCCCUCCCACUCUCCCUCCCACUCUGCCUCCUACUCUCCCUCAUACUCUCCCUCCCACUCUCCCUCCCACUCUGCCUCCUACUCUCCCUCAUACUCUCCCUCCCACUCUCCCUCCCACUCUGCCUCCUACUCUCCCUCCCACUCUCCCUCCCACUCUGCCUCCUACUCUCUCUCCUACUCUCCUUCCUACUCUCCCUCCCACUCUCCCUCCCACUCUCCCUCAUACUCUCCCUCCUGCUCUGA
rnacentral:lncRNA from 1 species